rnacentral:rRNA from 1 species
CUCCUACGGGGGGCAGCAGUGGGGAAUAUUGGGCAAUGGAGGCAACUCUUACCCAGCAAUGCCGCGUGAAUGAAGAAGGUCUUCGGAUUGUAAAGUUCUUUCAUUGGGGACGAAAAAAAUGACGGUACCCAAGGAAUAAGCCCCGGCUAACUACGUGCCAGCAGCCGCGGUAAUACGUAGGGGGCAAGCGUUAUCCGGAUUUACUGGGUGUAAAGGGAGCGUAGACGGCCAGACAAGUCUGAAGUGAAAAUCCAGCGCUUAACGUUGGAAGUGCUUUGGAAACUGCCGGGCUGGAGUGCAGGGGG